rnacentral:rRNA from 1 species
UACGUAGGGGGCAAGCGUUGUCCGGAAUCAUUGGGCGUAAAGCGCGUGUAGGCGGUUCGGUAAGUCGGCUGUGAAAGUCCAGGGCUCAACCCUGGGAUGCCGGUCGAUACUGCCGGACUAGAGUUCGGAAGAGGCGAGUGGAAUUCCCGGUGUAGCGGUGAAAUGCGUAGAGAUCGGAAAGAACACCAACGGCGAAAGCACUCUGCUGGGCCGACACUGACACUGAGAGACGAAAGCUAGGGGAGCGAAUGGG